CCUACGGGUGGCAGCAGUGGGGAAUAUUGGACAAUGGGGGCAACCCUGAUCCAGCCAUGCCGCGUGUGUGAAGAAGGCCCUCGGGUUGUAAAGCACUUUCAGUGAGGAAGAACGCCUGGUGGUUAAUACCCAUCAGGAAAGACAUCACUCACAGCAGAAGCACCGGCUAACUCCGUGCCAGCAGCCGCGGUAAUACGGAGGGUGCGAGCGUUAAUCGGAAUUACUGGGCGUAAAGCGCGCGUAGGUGGCUUGAUAAGCCGGUUGUGAAAGCCCCGGGCUCAACCUGGGAACGGCAUCCGGAACUGUCAAGCUAGAGUGCAGGAGAGGAAGGUAGAAUUCCCGGUGUAGCGGUGAAAUGCGUAGAGAUCGGGAGGAAUACCAGUGGCGAAGGCGGCCUUCUGGACUGACACUGACACUGAGGUGCGAAAGCGUGGGUAGCAAACAGGAUUAGAUACCCCAGUAGUC
rnacentral:rRNA from 1 species